ACGAGGACCUCAUAAUCGCCACUACAAUCCCUAUAUGAUAGGUAAGAAUAAUUAUUUAAACCUUUCUGCUUUAACAGUUACCCCUAGACACGUCCUCUCAACUUAGUUAUAUUAUUCGCAGGCUUUGUUCGCCUUCGGUUGACUGCUACUUCAGGUCAAGGAGAUUUUAUCUAGGAAGAAGUAAAUCGAAAUUAAAGUCGAACAUCUUCAGUAAGAACUUGAAGUUACUUCGAACAAUCUGAAGGAAGAAAGAGAUAAACUUUACGCCGCCCGACUCCACUCUGAUGCGUUGUCAUUGGAAGUGAAAGAACUGAAAUGGAAAAGCUCCGAGCUUUCUAAGGAAAAGGAUAAACUCCUUAUGGAACGGGUCAAGCUGAAAGAGGAUAGAGAUGCCCUUCAUAAAGCUUAUAUAACUCUAAUAGAUCAGUUCGACCAACUUCACCAAAAAAAUGAGGAACAUGCUGAGGGUAACUAUUGAAUUGGAGAGAAAAUAUGAAAACUUGAAAGCUUAGAAGUCAAUAGCCUCUGUGACGACCCA
rnacentral:lncRNA from 1 species